rnacentral:rRNA from 1 species
GAAGGGACCUAGCGUAGUUCGGAAUUACUGGGCUUAAAGAGCACGUAGGUGGUUAAGAAAGUUGGUGGUGAAAUCCCAAGGCUUAACCUUGGAACUGCCACCAAAACUUUUUAACUAGAGUAUGAUUGAGGUAAGCGGAAUUUCUAGUGUAGAGGUGAAAUUCGUAGAUAUUAGAAAGAACACCAAUUGCGAAGGCAGCUUUCUGGAUCAUUACUGACACUGAGGUGCGAAAGCAUGGGUAGCGAAGAGGAUUAGAUACCCUCGUAGUCCAUGCCGUAAACGAUGUGUGCUAGACGUUGGGAAUUUAUUUUUCAGUGUCGCAGCAAAAGCGUUAAGCACACCGCCUGGGGAGUACGACCGCAAGGUUAAAACUCAAAUGAAUAGACGGGGACCCGCACAAGUAGUGGAGCAUGUGGUUUAAUUCGAAGAUACGCGCAGAACCUUACCAACACUUGACAUGUUCGUCGCGACUCUAAGAGAUUAGAGUUUUCGGUUCGGCCGGACGAAACACAGGUGCUGCAUGGCUGUCGUCAGCUCGUGUCGUGGGAUGUUGGGUUAAGUCCCGCAACGAGCGCAACCCUUACUUUUAGUUGCUACCAUUUAGUUGGGCACUCUAGAAGAACUGCCGGUGAUAAGCUGGAGGAAGGUGGGGAUGACGUCAAGUCCUCAUGGCCCUUAUGUGUUGGGCUACACACGUGCUACAAUGGUAUUUACAGUGGGAUGCAAAGAGGCAACUCCAAGCCAACCCCUCAAAGAAUACCUCAGUUCGGAUUGUACUCUGCAACUCGAGUACAUGAAGCUGGAAUUACUAGUAAUCGCGGAUCAGCGUGCCGCGGUGAAUACGUUCCCGGGUCUU